GAUGUACUCCCUCCAUUCCAAAUUACUCGUCGCAGAAAUGGAUGUAUCUAGAACUACAACACAUCUAGAUACAUCCAUACCUGCGACUAGUAAUUCGGAACGGAGGGAGUAGAUU
rfam:Triticum urartu cultivar G1812 contig314983, whole genome shotgun sequence.